CAUGAACGGAAACAACACGAACAAUGUCGUGAGGUGCCAUGACGAGAAGGAGUGACUGAGAGGAUCAUCGAUAAGAUGGAAGCUGAGGCCUGGAGAGAGUCUUCAGGAGGAUCGGAGAUCACCUUUAGCACAGAGAGCUGUGCUACUGGGCUUCCAGGAGAUCGUUAUGAGGAGACUCUGCACAGCAGAAUCUUGAAUAGGAUAAAAGAGUUUCGACGUUGACGUUGAGGAAGACUACUAAGGUGUACGACGUGCUCUGCCUUUAAAAUCUUCAGCAGCGUUGGAACAUGAGAAUCUGAGGGAGCGUGCCAAGCUCCAAAAAGUGACAGCGCAGAGGAGGUCCAGCGAUGGACUUGUGGUUCUGUGAACAGCACAAAUGCCAGGUGACUGUGAAAUAACUAACAGCACUUUUUCCACAAGUGAAGCCAGUAACUUACUAUCCUAAAAGAUUAGCUGUAGUUCCUUGUGCUUUACCUCCAUGUGUGUGAUCAGUAUGUGCAGCGGCUUAAGCUGUACAAUGUUUCAGGAUAUAGUUUUUCACCUUUUUGACACUGUUAGUUCCACACGAGGUAGAUGUCUACUACUGCAGGCUAAAAUUACAUUUCUGUCACCUACAAGACGCUUGUCUUUAAUGUUACUGUUACUCUCACAACCACAUAUUACCAUAAAGUGAUGCACAAUUCUGAAUCCGUCAAACCUUUUGCCAACGAAAGAAGAGGGCACUUCUCAUGAGCGUAGAGAAGGAGUGUAAGCCGAGGGAUGACUUAAUAUAUGUGCCACUUGGUGAGGGAAAAGGUUUGGUUUGUUGAUGGUUUGAGUUUUUACAACAGCAGAGGGACAGACUAAAACAGGUUUUACUGUAGUAGAUGGUGAGAAAGUUAUCUGUACAGGACAACUAGCAUGUUUCAUAUUUGCUUAAGCAGCAGGGAUAGUAGCUUUAACGGAAGCGUGUUAAGCUGCAGAGAAACAAGAUGUGACAAUAUACACUGAUAGCCAGUAUACAUUUGCUACAGUAUAUUUACAUAGAAAUAUACUGUAGCAGUGGGUGAGACGAGGUGUGACAACCGUAAAAAUUACGCUAAACAAAAUUAUAAAGCAAAAACUGAAAUUUUGCUUUAUAAAAACUGAAAAAACUGAAAUUAC
ensembl:lncRNA